rnacentral:rRNA from 1 species
GGGAUCAUUACCGAGUUAUACAACUCAUCAACCCUGUGAACAUACCUAAAACGUUGCUUCGGCGGGAACAGACGGCCCUGUAACAACGGGCCGCCCCCGCCAGAGGACCCCUAACUCUGUUUUUAUAAUGUUUUUCUGAGUAAACAAGCAAAUAAAUUAAAACUUUCAACAACGGAUCUCUUGGCUCUGGCAUCGAUGAAGAACGCAGCGAAAUGCGAUAAGUAAUGUGAAUUGCAGAAUUCAGUGAAUCAUCGAAUCUUUGAACGCACAUUGCGCCCGCCAGUAUUCUGGCGGGCAUGCCUGUUCGAGCGUCAUUACAACCCUCAGGCCCCCGGGCCUGGCGUUGGGGAUCGGCGGAAGCCCCCUGUGGGCACACGCCGUCCCUCAAAUACGGUGGCGGUCCCGCCGCAGCUUCCAUUGCGUAGUAGCUAACACCUCGCAACUGGAGAGCGGCGCGGCCAUGCCGUAAAACACCCAACUUCUGAAUGUUGACCUCGAAUCAGGUAGGAAUACCCGCUGAACUUAAGCAUAUCAAUAAGCGGAGGAA